rnacentral:rRNA from 1 species
UACAGAGGGUGCGAGCGUUAAUCGGAAUUACUGGGCGUAAAGCGCGCGUAGGCGGCUUUGCAAGUCGGGUGUGAAAUCCCCAGGCUUAACCUGGGAACUGCAUUUGAGACUGCAUUGCUAGAGUAUGGGAGAGGGAAGUGGAAUUUCCGGUGUAGCGGUGAAAUGCGUAGAUAUCGGAAGGAACAUCAGUGGCGAAAGCGACUUCCUGGACCAAUACUGACGCUCAUGUGCGAAAGCGUGGGGAGCAAACAGG